rnacentral:lncRNA from 1 species
UGUCUCUCCUGGUUCACGGUCACCCAAACGCCGGCUCGAAGUGUGGGAGAGGAGGUUGGGGGCGACCCCAGGUGGGCACUGCUGGCGUCCGGCUGUCAAUCCACAGCUCACGUCCUCACAGGUGCGCGCCUAGAGUCACGCGUCCAGCACCGCCCGGCUGGCCGGGAAGAGGCGACCGGGUCCGUGGUCCGAGUCCCGCACCUCCGGCCUCUCUCUGGGCCCCGGGGCAACAGCCCCUCCCGGGCCGCACAGGCCGCACUGAGGGCGCCACUCCGGGGCUCCCGAACUCCCGGGCUCCCGGCGGGGACGAGGCGCAGGGACGGGGGCACUUCCGGCUCGCGGGGCCCGGGUCGCCCGCCCGCCCGACCCGCCCACCUGGCUGUCGCUGACGCAGAAGACGCGGCCGCCACGGCUCAGGCACACGCGGGCGCCCGGGGGCUGCGCGGCCGCGCCGCAGAAGGUGAAGGAACAGCGCGAGGCACGCAGCCGCCGCACCGUGGCGCGCACGAGCUCAGCCGGCCGGCGACCCCAGCGCGCCCACAGGACAGUGGCAGCCGGAAAGUGGGUUCCUGCAUGGUAACAAGACCUUAAAAUUGUGUCACUGGAGAAGGACGUGCAGUUCCCGCUGAGGAGAGACUUGGCCACUCCAGGACAACACAGGACUACAAGUCAGGAAUUUGAAGAUGAAAAGUGCUCAACAGUGAUAAAUCCUAAAUGUUUCACUGAACAACCUUUCAGAUAGCCUUCUUGAAGUUUGCUGAAUUAUGGCUAUAAGGACCACUCCCCACCCCUGCUAGGUAUGGAGAGGUCAUCUCCUCUAUCUGAAGGUGACCAACAUCUCCAGUUUUUCCAAAUUCCCUAAGGGUUUUGAGACCACACCUUCCCACAGGUACUCUAACUCCACCUGGCCAAUAGGAAUUUUCUAGGUUUACCCUUAGGUGUUUCGAGAUAUGGUCUCAGAAUACAUCAUGGGAAAAUUACAUUUUGGGGUCAAUCCUGUAUACCAAUUCUAGGUUAAAAGCAUGGGGACCACCAUGGUUCAACAUGAGCUGACCCUUGCAUUGAAGAGUACUGAUACCAUUCAUGCCUGGGGAAGGAAUAGAGGGAGGAAGAUAUGAAGGGCACAGUGAGAAGUGAAACAGUCACAUAACAAGCUCUGUUUAUGAUCCCGCCCUAAAAUGAUUUCAUUUUGCAAAGGUCAAGGAUAGAGUUGAGUUUCAUCACCCCUAUAUAACAAAGGAAUAGGGGAAGGAUGCAAAAAUAAUACACCAAGGGAUAUUAAUGUGUAUGCACCUGAUCCUCAUCCUGUAGUCCCUCACUGCUCAAAGUGUGGUCCUUAGAGCAGCAGCAGCAGCAUCACUUGGAAGCUCGCAAGAAAAGCGGAAUCCUAGGCCCCACCCAACCCCAAAUCAGCGUCUGCAUUUUGACAAAAUCCCAGGAGACUCACAAACACAUUAAAGUUAGAGAAGCACUGCUAACAUCUUCCUCUGUCAUUCCCUGGGUCUGGGCUACUCUAGACUCUAAUAAGACAUUUCCAAAAUGAUGUGGAAAAUAAGACCACAGACUAGGGAUUUUUUUUUUUUUUUUUAGAUGAAGUCUCACUUGCCCAGGUUGGAGUGCAGCGCGAUCUCAGCUCACUGCAACGUCCGCCUCCCAAGUUCAAGUGAUUCUCCUGCCUCAGCCUCCCG